GUCUCAAAGAUUAAGCCAUGCAUGUCUAAGUAUAAGCAUUUUAUACAGUGAAACUGCGAAUGGCUCAUUAAAUCAGUUAUCGUUUAUUUGAUAGUACCUUACUACAUGGAUAACCGUGGUAAUUCUAGAGCUAAUACAUGCUAAAAACCCCGACUUACGAAGGGGUGUAUUUAUUAGAUAGCUAACCAACGCCCCUUGUGGGCUUAUUGGUGAUUCAUGAUAACUAAACGCAGCGCAUGGCCUUGUGCCGGCGCGAGAUCAUUCAAAUAUCUGCCCUAUCAAGUUUCGAUGUGAGGGUAGUGUCCUCACAUGCUUUUGACGGGUAACGGGGAAUUAGGGUUCGACUCCGGAGAGGGAGCCUGAGAAACGGCUACCACAUCCAAGGAAGGCAGCAGGCGCGCAAAUUACCCAAUCCCGACAUGGGGAGGUAGUGACAAGAAAUACUGAUACAGGAUUUUUAUAGGUCUUGUAAUUGGAAUGAGAACAAUUUAAACCCAUUAGCGAGGAACAAUUGGAGGGCAAGUCUGGUGCCAGCAGCCGCGGUAAUUCCAGCUCCAAUAGCGUAUAUUAAAGUUGUUGCAGUUAAAAUGCUCGUAGUUGAAUUUUGGGCCUGGCUGGCUGGUUAGCCUCACCGGUUGAUACUGGUCUGGCCGGGCCUUUCCUCAUGGGGAACUGCAUGCCCUUUACUGGGUGUGUUAGGGAACCAUGACUUUUACUUUGAAAAAAUUAGAGUGUUCAAAGCAGGCUUUUGCUCGGAUACAUUAGCAUGGAAUAAUGAAAUAGGACGUGCGGUUCUAUUUUGUUGGUUGCUAGAAUCGCCGUAAUGAUUAAUAGGGAUAGUUGGGGGCAUCAGUAUUCAAUUGUCAGAGGUGAAAUUCUUGGAUUUAUUGAAGACUAACUAUUGCGAAAGCAUUUGCCAAGGAUGUUUUCAUUAAUCAGGGAACGAAAGUUAGGGGAUCGAAGACGAUCAGAUACCGUCGUAGUCUUAACCGUAAACUAUGCCGACUAGGGAUCGGGUGGUGUUUCUGUUAUGACCCACUCGGCACCUUACGAGAAAUCAAAGUGUUUGGGUUCU
rnacentral:rRNA from 1 species